UAAGUAAGAUGAUAAAAAAUAGGGUAAGCGGAAGUAUCUUUAGAAGUCCGAGUAUCUUUCAACUCUCUCCAAAGACAUGUUCAGACUUCAAUUACCAAUUGAUUUGUCUGUAUGCCCCUAUUGAAAUGCAAACCGAAAAAGCAAAGAGUUUUCUAUCAUUUAUUUUAUAGAUUUUAUGGCAGCAAUACAAAGCCUAAACAAUUGGUUACACAUUAAUGUAUAGUAUUCUCAGGUCCCUUUGUUCAAGGUCCCCCAUUUUCCAUUUCCAGCUUAAAUUGGCAUAACAAUUGCAAUUAUUGGCAAUUUCAUGGGCACUUGGGGACAGCCUACAGCCCUACGACCGUCUGGUAUGGUCUGUAAUCGAGGCCAUGCGCGAACAAAAGGAGCGGACCAAAGAGAGGAAGAGCUGGUGAGAUAAGCUCGCUUGAGAGAGUGCGAGUGUAACGACUCAUGGCUCGCCUACGUCACAAAUGUAGUGUUUGAGUUUGUUUUGACUCUUGCUUCGCGUUGAUAAUGCAAAAUAAACGAUAAAUAGCAACUCGGA
rnacentral:sRNA from 1 species